rnacentral:rRNA from 1 species
GACGAACGCUGGCGGCGUGCUUAACACAUGCAAGUCGAGCGGAAAGGCCCUUCGGGGUACUCGAGCGGCGAACGGGUGAGUAACACGUGAGUAACCUGCCCCAGACUUUGGGAUAACCCUCGGAAACGGGGGCUAAUACCGGAUACGACACAGCUUCGCAUGGGGUCUGUGUGGAAAGUUCUUCGGUUUGGGAUGGGCUCGCGGCCCAUCAGCUUGUUGGUGGGGUGAUGGCCUACCAAGGCGACGACGGGUAGCCGGCCUGAGAGGGCGACCGGCCACACUGGGCCUGCGGGACGCACCAGACUCCUACGGGGGGCAGCAGUGGGGAAUAUUGCCCAGUGGGCGGACGCGUGGUGCAGCGGCGCCGCGUGAGGGAUGAGGGCCUUCGGGUUGUAAACCGCUUUCAGCAGGGACGAAGCGUACGUGACGGUACCUGAAGAAGAAGCACCGGCCAACUACGUG